CAAGGUUCUCGGGGCGGGGUGAAACUCCCCACCGGCGGUAUAGCCCGCGAGCGCCUGCCGGCAACGGCAGGGUCAGCAGAGUCCGGUGAGAUUCCGGCGCCGACGGUUACAGUCCGGAUAAGAGAGAACGGCC
rnacentral:ncRNA from 2 species